rnacentral:rRNA from 1 species
GAUAACCUGCCCUUGGGUUUGGGAUAAUCCCGGGAAACUGGGGAUAAUACCAAAUAGGUAACAGAUGCUGGAAUGCUCUGUGACCCAAAACUACGGUGCCCAAGGAUGGAUCUGCGGCCUAUCAGGUAGUAGUGGGUGUAACGGACCCACUAGCCGACGACGGGUACGGGUUGUGAGAGCAAGAGCCCGGAGAUGGAUUCUGAGACACGAAUCCAGGCCCUACGGGGCGCAGCAGGCGCGAAAACUUUACAAUGCACGCAAGUGUGAUAAGGGAACCCCGAGUGCUCCUACUCAUAGGAGCUGUCCAGUUGUCUAAAAACAACCGUAGCAAGAGCCGGGCAAGACCGGUGCCAGCCGCCGCGGUAACACCGGCGGCUCGAGUGGUGACCGUUAUUAUUGGGUCUAAAGGGUCCGUAGCUGGCUUAAUAAGUUCCUUGGGAAAUCUGGCGGCUUAACCGUCAGGCUGCCGAGGAAUACUAUUAGGCUCGAGACCGGGAGGGGCUAGAGGUACUUCAGGGGUAGGAGUGAAAUCCUGUAAUCCUUGAGAGACCACCAGUGGCGAAGGCGUCUAGCUAGAACGGGUCUGACAGUGAGGGACGAAAGCUAGGGUCGCGAACCGGAUUAGAUACCCGGGUAGUCCUAGCCGUAAACGAUGCGAGCUAUGUAUCAGUUUCACUGCGAGUGAAAUUGGUGCCGUAGAGAAGUCGUGAAGCUCGCCACCUGGGAAGUACGGCCGCAAGGCUGAAACUUAAAGGAAUUGGCGGGGGAGCACUACAAUGGGUGGAGCCUGCGGUUC